GGGCCCAUAGCUCAGCCCGGUUAGAGCGACUGACUCAUAAUCAGUUGGUCCCAGGUUCGAAUCCUGGUGGGCCCA
rnacentral:tRNA from 1 species